UACACGAGACCCCCUCACAGUCCCUUCAGCUGCAAACUCCUGUGUUUCACUCCUAUAUACCUCACACAGCUUCUGUAAGAGUGUGUUUACAGCAUCAGCGCCGCAGGACAGGAGUAUCUCCCUCAUUCAGCUCGUAUCAGUACGCGCGGAUCUACUUUCUCACGCGGAGGAGUCCGGCAGCGCUCCGAGAAGUUGUCAGGAGUGAAUCUGACCGGCUGAAGACAGAGAGAUUCACGAUCGUUCGCGGAAUAUCAGCGUCUAACGGGACACACAACUCGGAGGAACAGAACACAAACACAACUCUUCAUCUGCGCCUCCUCCUCCUCCUCCUCCUCCUCCUCCUCAUCUUCCUCCUCUCCUCUCAGUGUGUUGGUGCUGGGAGAAUGGCGCAGAUUUUACCCAUCCGCUUUCAGGAGCAUCUGCAGCUGCAGGCGCUGGGAGUGAGUCCGGCCAGCAUCAGCUUCAGCUGCCUGACCAUGGAGUCGGACCGCUUCAUCUGCAUCCGAGAGAAGGUGGGCGAGCAGAACCAGGUGGUCAUCGUCGACCUGAGCGAUCCGACCAACCCGAUCCGCCGGCCGAUCACGGCAGACAGCGCCAUCAUGAACCCGGCGAGCAAAGUCAUCGCGCUGAAAGCGGCGCGGACGCUUCAGAUCUUCAACCUGGAGAUGAAGAGUAAGGUGAAGGCUCACACCAUGACGGAUGAGAUCCUGUUCUGGAAGUGGAUCUCCGUUAACACCAUCGCCCUGGUUACGGACACGGCCGUGUAUCAUUGGAGCAUGGAGGGAGACUCUCAGCCAAUCAAGAUGUUUGAUCGUCACGCCAGUCUCGCAGGAUGUCAGAUCAUCAACUACAGAACGGACGAGCAGCAGAAGUGGCUCCUGCUUAUCGGGAUAUCAGCGCAGCAGAACCGGGUCAUCGGUGCCAUGCAGUUGUUCUCCGUGGACCGUAAGGUCUCUCAGCCCAUCGAGGGUCACACGGCGGCGUUUGGACUUUAUAAACUGGAGGGAAACCCGAACGCUUCGACGCUCUUCUGCUUCGCUGUCAGAGGACAGGCUGGAGGAAAGCUGCACAUCAUCGAGGUCGGUCAGCCUCAGACUGGUAACCAGCCCUUCACUAAGAAAGCAGUGGACGUGUUUUUCCCUCCUGAAGCACAGACGGACUUCCCCGUGGCCAUGCAGAUCGGUACGAAGCACGGCGUCAUCUACCUCAUCACUAAAUACGGCUAUUUCCACAUGUAUGAUCUGGAGUCAGGUGUGUGUGUUUACAUGAACCGCAUCAGCGCUGAAACCAUAUUCGUCACGGCCGCUCACGAGAGCACGUCUGGAAUCAUCGGGGUCAAUAAGAAGGGGCAGGUCCUGUCGGUGUGUGUUGAGGAGGAGAACAUUGUGAAUUACGUGACUAGUGUGCUGCAGAAUCCCGAGCUGGCGUUACGGAUGGCAUUACGCAGCGAUCUUCCCGGAGCCGAGGAGCUCUUGACACACAAGUUCAACACGCUCUUCUCACAGGGCAGCUACACGGAGGCGGCCAAAGUCGCUGCAUCAGCUCCCAAGGGUGUCUUGCGUACGGCAGACACCAUCCGCAGGUUCCAGGCGGUGCCGGCUCAGGGCAGCCAGGCGUCUCCGCUGCUGCAGUAUUUCGGGGUUCUGCUGGACCGCGGGCAGCUGAAUAAGCUGGAGUCGGUGGAGCUCUGCAGGCCGGUGCUGCAGCAGGGACGCACACAGCUCCUGGAGAAGUGGCUCAAGGGAGAGAAGCUGGAGUGUUCGGAGGAGUUGGGUGAUCUGGUGAAGGCCGCUGACAUCACUCUGGCCCUCAGCGUUUAUCUCCGGGCGAAUGUUCCUGCUAAAGUCAUUCAGUGCUUUGCUGAGACCGGUCAAUUCCAGAAGAUAGUCCUCUAUGCUAAGAAGAUGGGAUAUUCUCCAGACUGGGUGAUGUUGUUGAGGAGUGUGAUGAGAUCCGGGCCUGAUCAGGGUCUUCAGUUUGCUCAGAUGCUGAUUCAGGACGAAGAACCGCUGGUGAACAUCAGCCAGGUGGUUGAUGUCUUCAUGGAGAAUAAUCUAGUGCAGCAGUGUACUUCAUUCCUAUUGGACGCUCUGAAGAACAACCGGCCGGAGGAGGGGCCUCUACAGACACGCCUCCUGGAGAUGAACCUCAUCCACGCCCCUCAGGUAGCAGAUGCGAUCCUGGGUAAUCAGAUGUUCACACACUACGACCGCGCUCACAUCGCUCAGCUGUGUGAGAAAGCUGGUUUACUGCAGAGAGCGCUGGAGCAUUACACCGACCCCUACGACAUCAAACGAGCCAUCGUACACACACACCUGCUCAACCCAGAGUGGUUGGUGAAUUUCUUUGGCGCUCUGUCUGUCGGCGACUCCAUCGAGUGUUUAAGAGCCAUGCUGGCUGCAAACCUCCGUCAAAACCUGCAGUUGAGCGUUCAGGUCGCGACCAAGUACCACGAGCAGCUGGGAACGCAAACGCUGGUGGAGCUUUUCGAGUCCUUUAAGAGUUAUGAGGGUCUGUUUUAUUUUCUGGGAUCUAUCGUGAACUUCAGUCAAGACCCUGAUGUGCAUUUCAAAUACAUUCAGGCCGCGUGUAAGACGGGUCAGAUCAAAGAGGUGGAGCGCAUCUGCCGAGAGAGCAACUGCUACGACGCCGAACGCGUCAAGAACUUCCUCAAGGAAGCCAAACUCACAGAUCAGCUGCCUCUCAUCAUCGUGUGCGACCGCUUCGAUUUCGUCCACGAUCUCGUUCUGUACCUGUACCGCAACAGCUUGCAGAAAUACAUCGAGAUCUACGUACAGAAGGUCAAUCCCAGCCGGCUGCCGGUGGUGGUCGGUGGUCUGCUGGACGUCGACUGCUCCGAGGACACCAUUAAGAGUCUGAUCCUGGCCGUACGAGGAACUUUCAGCACUGACCAGCUGGUGGAGGAAGUGGAAAAAAGAAACCGACUGAAGCUGCUCUUGUCCUGGCUGGAGUCUCGUGUUCAGGAGGGCUGUGAAGAGCCUGCUACCCACAAUGCCUUGGCGAAGAUCUACAUAGACAGUAACACCAGUCCCGAGCGCUUCCUCCGAGAGAACCUGCACUACGACAGCGUCACCGUGGGCCGUUACUGCGAGAAGAGAGACCCGCACCUGGCGUUCGUGGCCUAUGAGAGAGGCCAGUGUGACCUGGAGCUCAUACAGGUGUGCAAUGAAAACUCCUUGUUUAAAAGCGAGUCUCGAUACCUGGUGCGACGGAAAGAUCCAGAUCUCUGGGCUGGGGUUUUGCAGGAGACGAACCCCUACAGACGGCCGCUGAUCGAUCAGGUGGUUCAGACCGCUCUACCUGAGACGCAGGAUCCGGAGGAAGUGUCUGUGACGGUGAAGGCGUUUAUGACGGCAGAUCUGCCCAAUGAGCUCAUAGAACUUCUGGAGAAGAUAGUUCUGGAGAACUCCAUAUUUAGUGAACACAGAAACCUGCAGAACCUGCUGAUACUGACGGCCAUAAAAGCGGACCGUACGCGGGUCAUGGAGUACAUCAACCGUCUGGACAAUUACGACGCUCCUGACAUCGCCAACAUCGCCAUCAGCAACGAGCUGUAUGAAGAGGCGUUCUCCAUCUUUAAGAAGUUUGACGUCAACACCUCAGCGAUACAGGUUCUGAUCGAGCACAUCGGGAAUCUGGACCGGGCGUAUGAGUUUGCGGAGCGCUGCGGCGAGAGCUCGGUGUGGAGUCAGCUCGCUCAGGCUCAGCUUCAGCAGUCUCUGGUCAAAGAGGCCAUCGACUCUUACAUCAAAGCAGGAGAACCGUCGGCGUACAUGGAGGUGGUUGAUGCGGCCAGUAAAAACGGCAACUGGGAGGAUCUGGUGAAGUUUCUUCAAAUGGCGAGAAAGAAAGCCAGAGAGUCUUACAUCGAGACGGAGCUCAUCUUCGCUCUGGCUAAAACAAACCGUCUCACAGACCUGGAGGACUUUAUCAACGGCCCAAACAACGCUCACAUACAGCAAGUUGGCGAGAGGUGUUAUGAAGAGUGCAUGUUUGAAGCUGCCCGUCUGCUCUUUAAUAACGUGUCUAAUUUCGCUCGUCUGGCGUCCACGCUCGUUCACCUCGGCGAGUUUCAGGCGGCCGUUGACAGCGCACGCAAGGCCAGCUGCACACGCACCUGGAAAGAGGUGUGUUUUGCUUGUGUGGAUGGAGAGGAGUUCCGGUUAGCGCAGAUCUCCGGCCUUCACAUCGUCACUCAUGCUGAUGAAUUGGAGGAACUCAUUAACUACUAUCAGGAUCGUGGGUAUUUUGAGGAGCUGAUCGUGCUGUUGGAGGCGGCAUUAGGGCUGGAGCGCGCUCACAUGGGCAUGUUCACUGAGCUGGCCAUCCUCUACUCCAAAUACAAACCCCAGAGGAUGAGAGAACAUCUGGAGCUCUUCUGGUCUCGCGUCAACAUCCCCAAGGUGUUACGAGCGGCUGAACAGGCCCAUCUGUGGGCGGAGCUUGUGCUCCUGUAUGAUAAAUACGAGGAGUAUGACAAUGCCAUCUUGACGAUGAUGACGCACCCUACAGACGCCUGGAGAGACGCUUCCUUCAAAGAGCUCAUCAGCAAGGUGGCGAAUGUGGAGCUGUAUUAUAAAUCUCUGCAGUUUUAUUUGGACUAUAAACCGCUGCUGCUCAAUGAUCUGCUGUCUGUACUCGCUCCUCGACUGGACCACGGCAGAGCCGUCAGCUACUUCAGCAAGGUGAAUCAGUUGCGGCUGGUGAAACCGUACCUCAGAUCAGUGCAAAUCCACAAUAACAGAGCCGUGAAUGAAGCGCUCAACAACCUGCUGACGGAGGAAGAGGACUAUCAGGGUCUGCGCGCCUCCAUCGACGCGUACGAUAACUUCGACUCCGUCGGUUUAGCUCAGAGGCUGGAGACACACGAGCUCAUUGAGUUCAGACGCAUCGCCGCGUAUCUCUACAAGAGCAACCAGCGCUGGGCUCAGAGCAUCCAGCUGUGCAAGAAAGACAAGCUUUACAAGGAUGCGAUGCAGUUCGCGGCCGAGUCUCAGGACGGCGCUCAGGCUCAGGAUCUCUUGCGCUGGUUUGUUGAAGAGGGGAAGCGGGAGUGUUUCGCCGCGUGUCUCUUCAGCUCGUAUGAUCUUCUGGCUCCUGACGUGGUCUUAGAGCUGGCCUGGAGACACGGCCUCAUGGACUCUGCCAUGCCUUACUUCAUUCAGGUGAUGAGGGAGUACCUGAGCAAGGUGGAUGAAUUAGCCAGGCAGGUGAAGGUCUCUGACCCGUUCUGUCCGUCUCUCUCUGUAUUAGAUAUUAGCGCAUGUAGAGUACAGAUGCUGCACUCUUUUAUAACAGGUUCCUGAAUAGUUUGCUUGAUUACCCACAAUGCACUGCUCUGUAGCUGUGAUGAGCCUGUUUGUUUGUUUGUUUGUGUGUGCGUGGAUGUUUCUGAGAAAGAGGCUAAUUAUUAUAAUAAGGAGUUAUUCAGAAGGAUCGCUGGAGUUCUCACACGAGCCGUAAUCGUUUACAGCUGUGAGAAAGACGACCUUCACAAACCAAAAUGAUUAUUCAUCAUUAUAACGUCCUGUAAAUCCGGCGGAUGUCUGGUGUGUCUUUGCUUCAGACUCUCUUUAAAGCUGCAGUACGUCAGUUUGACCUGCAGAUGGCAACAAAGUCACUCUUAGAUUUAACUUGGGAAAGCCUGACAUAUGAAAUAAUUGUCAAAAAAUGUUUGUUUUUUUAAACAGAAGAGUUUAUUGAACCUUUAGAGAAAAUCUAAAACAAAAAAUUGCAUGUGUGGCUCAUAUAGUAUGAUUUAUGAAUAUGCAAAAAAAAAGGUGCAGAUGCUGAUAUUUAUAUGGACAAAAAGUUGAUGACAUUUUGAUAGCUUGUAAUGUAAAUCAGUUGGAUAUUUAUAACAGUAAAACAGGUACUUGCAUAAAGUGCAUAUAAAUAUCAAUAUCUGCCAAUAAUAUGUCUUAGCAAGAUGAUAUUUAAAUGCUUAGUUUUAUGAUCAAAGCUCUGUAGUUACAAUGAUAUAUGAUGAUUGAGAGAUGAACAAAUAAACCUUCCUCAAAUGAUGAUGAUCAUAUUUGAUACUCAUGAUUUUUAACAUGAUUUUUCUAAAAAUGAUAAAUCAAGUAAACCUGAGUUGCUUCAGUCCAGUAAGUGUUCAUCUUGAAAUAUUACUAAAAUAUCAAUUUUUUUUCUUAUAUUUACUUUAUAAAAAUCAUUAAAGGCAUCCUUGAUUAUGAUUUGACUUUUUUAACUUUAGUUAGUGUGUAAUGUUGCUGUUUGAGCAUAAACAACAUCUGCAAAGUUACAGCGCUCAAAGUUCAAUGCAAAGGGAGAUAUUUUCUUUUACAGAAAUCGCUUUUUAAGGACUACAACCAACGGCUGGUAGGGACUACAACGAGCUUCUUCCUGGGUGGAUAAACUGCAGGAGGCCGAGAACAAGAGAGCGUCUGAAGACGAGUCUCCCGAAUCCUCCUCCAUAGUCUACGGGCAACAGCUGAUGUUGAACGGCAGUCAGACCGGCGUCACACCCCAGCCG